rnacentral:rRNA from 1 species
AUUGAACGCUGGCGGCAGGCCUAACACAUGCAAGUCGCGCGAGCGGCGGACGGGUGAGUAAUGUUUGGGAAACUGCCUGAUGGAGGGGGAUAAGUACUGGAAACGGUCGCUAAUACCGCAUACCAUCAGAUGUGCCCAGAUGGGCUGCGCUAGUAGGUGGGGUAACGGCUCAACUAGGGGACGAUCCCUAGCUGGUCUGAGAGGAUGAACAGCCACACUGGAAAGGAGACACGGUCCAGACUCCUACGGGAGGCAGCAGUGGGGAAUAUUGCACAAUGGGCGAAAGCCGGAUGCAGCCAUGCCGCGUGUGUGAAGAAGGCCUUCGGGUUGUAAAGCACUUUCAGCGGGGAGGCGGUACCCGCAGAAGAAGCACCGGCUAACUCCGUGCCAGCAGCCGCGGUAAUUC